rnacentral:sRNA from 1 species
ACAGAAGAAUAGAGAGGCUGUUGCAGCCCCGUGCUUUCUCCUGCUGCUGGCCGAUUGCUUGCUCUGAACUAACCCUCUAACCCUUGGGAGUCUGUGUGCAGCAGUGAUGUGAGCUGCAUCCGGGCUGAAAUGGGAGCUCCCGCUAUGGCACUGGCUCAAGGAGCUUAUCUAAAGAGAAAGUAUUUUGGGGAAGACAUCUUGGUUGCACCCCUCAUUGCAUCUUGACUAAUUGCUUCCAACUCCGGGGGCUUCCAGGGACAAUCUCAUUGUUCUUUUCUCUCCAAGGGUCAGCCAUGUUAACCAUUUGUUAAUUUCUUCUGAACAGAUCAAGCAAAAGUAGAUAAUCAGCCAGAAGAAUUAGUGCGUAGUGCUGAAGAUGUGAAGGUGCUGAACUUUGGCACAUGACUUGACAAAUUCUUAAGAACUGCCUAGGAAAGAAGAGAGUCCAGGCUUCAGCUCUUGUGAGUAUGUGCUCUCUGUCUGACUAUUGCAGAUGAAACAAGCCUUCUGCCCCUAAGGGGUGUUAGUUUCCACAGUGCCUACACAACCUGAUAAU